GACGAACGCUGGCGGCGUGCUUAACACAUGCAAGUCGAACGGUGAUGCUCCAGCUUGCUGGAGUGGAUCAGUGGCGAACGGGUGAGUAACACGUGAGCAACCUGCCCCAGACUCUGGAAUAAGCGCUGGAAACGGCGUCUAAUACUGGAUACGAAACUGGCCCGCAUGGGCAUGGUUUGGAAAGUUUUUCGGUUUGGGAUGGGCUCGCGGCCUAUCAGCUUGUUGGUGAGGUAAUGGCUCACCAAGGCGACGACGGGUAGCCGGCCUGAGAGGGCGACCGGCCACACUGGGACUGAGACACGGCCCAGACUCCGACGGGAGGCAGCAGUGGGGAAUAUUGCACGAUGGGCGAAAGCCUGAUGCAGCGACGCCGCGUGAGGGAUGACGGCCUUCGGGUUGUAAACCUCUUUCAGCAGGGAAGAAGCGAAAGUGACGGUACCUGCAGAAGAAGCACCGGCUAACUACGUG
rnacentral:rRNA from 1 species